rnacentral:rRNA from 1 species
GUAAUAUUGGACAAUGGGCGAAAGCCUGAUCCAGCCAUGCCGCGUGUGUGAAGAAGGUCUUCGGAUUGUAAAGCACUUUACGUUGGGAGGACGGGUAGUAACUUAAUACUUUGCUAUUUUGACGUUACCGACAGAAUAAGCACCGGCUACCUUCGUGCCAGCAGCCGCGGUAAUACGAAGGGUGCAAGCGUUAAUCGGAAUUACUGGGCGUAAAGCGCGCGUAGGUGGUUCAGUAAGUUGGAAGUGAAAUCCCCGGGCUCAACCUGGGAACUGCUUUCAAAACUGCUGAGCUAGAGUACGGUAGAGGGUGGUGGAGUUUCCUGUGUAGCGGUGAAAUGCGUAGAUAUAGGAAGGAACACCAGUGGCGAAGGCGACCACCUGGACUGAUACUGACACUGAGGUGCGAAAGCGUGGGGAGCAAAC